rnacentral:misc_RNA from 1 species
AUUCUGAAUGGAAAUAUUCUUUUUUAGCUUUGUCUGCCAUAAUUUUUUUUUUUGCUUGUUUGGGUAUUCAUUUAUUAUUCGUUUGAUUAUUUAUCGUUUUGAUGUUUUUAUCAUUUAUUUGUCUGAGUGUUUAUUUGGGUCAUAGGAGGUCAUGAUGAUGAUGGGUUUUAGUGCUUUGUCCAUAUAUGAGGUAGCCAUAAACAAGUGAAAUCUUAUUGUGAGAGGCUAGUUUUUUACAGUUUACCCCUUCCCCUCUUUUUUAUUUGGUUGAGUAGGCGUAUGAUUGACAGGAAUCGGAUGGCUUCAGGUAAGAGGUUUUGUUGGGGGAUCAUGGCAAACUUGUUUCCAUAAUUUUUUUUUUUUUGUAGAUUAAAGGAGAUAUGAGCCGUGUGUUAUUUACUGACUGGGUUUUUCCUAGUCUUGCUAAAAGUCUAAGCUUGUACGUUUACUUCUCCUCUGGAAGCCCCGGAGUGAUCUCAUGCCCACUGGGUCGAUCAUUGCUUAGAUAUGGUGGAAUGAAUUGAUGAAGAAAAAGGAAUCGUUUUUACUAGAGUUUAUUUUUACAGAUCUGUAUUUGUGGAAUGUUAAGUUGUUGAUAGAUGCUGGUUACUUUUGACAGUAUCAUGUAGUAGACUCUGGGAUUAGGAAGAGCUAUGGAGGAAGCGUCACUUUAUGAUUUGGUUUUAUUAGUUAUGUGCAGUUAACACUGACUUUUCCAUGUAUAUAUGACAUCCAUGGGUCUAUGAAAUGCAUCAUAGCUUCGUGAUUAUUAUAUGGAUGAUGGUAUGCUUGCAAUUAAAAAUUCAAUUGCAGUGUGAGUCACAUCGAAUUUGUGUCGUUUAAUGGCUUCAGGUCCAGAAGAUGAUGUUGCUGA